rnacentral:rRNA from 1 species
AUUGAACGCUGGCGGCAUGCCUUACACAUGCAAGUCGAACGGCAGCGCGGGGCAACCUGGCGGCGAGUGGCGAACGGGUGAGUAAUAUAUCGGAACGUGCCCAGUCGUGGGGGAUAACGUAGCGAAAGCUACGCUAAUACCGCAUACGAUCUAUGGAUGAAAGCGGGGGAUCGCAAGACCUCGCGCGAUUGGAGCGGCCGAUAUCAGAUUAGGUAGUUGGUGAGGUAAAGGCUCACCAAGCCGACGAUCUGUAGCUGGUCUGAGAGGACGACCAGCCACACUGGGACUGAGACACGGCCCAGACUCCUACGGGAGGCAGCAGUGGGGAAUUUUGGACAAUGGGCGCAAGCCUGAUCCAGCAAUGCCGCGCGCAGGAUGAAGGCCU